UACAGAGGGUGCGAGCGUUAAUCGGAAUUACUGGGCGUAAAGCGCACGUAGGCGGCUUGGUAUGUCGGGUGUGAAAUCUCCAGGCUCAACCUGGAAAGUGCACCCGAUACUGGCGGACUUGAGGACGGUAGAGGUCGGUGGAAUGAGCAGUGUACCGGUGAAAUGGACAGAUAAUUGCUCAGAACACCAGUGGCGAAGGCGGCCGACUGGGCC
rnacentral:rRNA from 1 species